CGGAGGGUGCAAGCGUUAUCCGGAUUUACUGGGUUUAAAGGGUGCGUAGGUGGGUAGGUAAGUCAGUGGUGAAAUCUUCGAGCUUAACUCGGAAACUGCCAUUGAUACUAUUUAUCUUGAAUACUUUGGAGGUAAGCGGAAUAUGUCAUGUAGCGGUGAAAUGCUUAGAUAUGACAUAGAACACCAAUUGCGAAGGCAGCUUACUACACAGUUAUUGACACUGAGGCACGAAAGCGUGGGGAUCAAACAGGAUUAGAUACCCUGGUAGUCCACGCCCUAAACGAUGGAUACUCGACAUUAGCGAUACACAGUUAGUGUCUGAGCGAAAGCAUUAAGUAUCCCACCUGGGAAGUACGAUCGCAAGAUUG
rnacentral:rRNA from 1 species